rnacentral:rRNA from 1 species
GACGAACGCUGGCGGCGUGCUUAACACAUGCAAGUCGAGCGGUAAGGCCCUUUCGGGGGUACACGAGCGGCGAACGGGUGAGUAACACGUGGGUGACCUGCCUCUAGCUCUGGGAUAAGCCUGGGAAGCUGGGUCUAAUACCGGAUAUGACCUCGCGGUGCAUGUUGCGGGGUGGAAAGCCUUGUGCGGCUAGGGAUGGGCCCGCGGCCUAUCAGCUUGUUGGUGGGGUGAUGGCCUACCAAGGCGACGACGGGUAGCCGGCCUGAGAGGGCGACCGGCCACACUGGGACUGAGACACGGCCCAGACUCCUACGGGAGGCAGCAGUGGGGAAUCUUGCGCAAUGGGCGAAAGCCUGACGCAGCGACGCCGCGUGAGGGAUGACGGCCUCGGUGUAA